GUCUAUUUGAAAGAUUAGACCAGUCUUGUUACCGGCAGUUACAUCAUCGGCUCGGUUCUUUCUAAAAGGAGGAAAACUGUUAUAAAAAUGAAUUCAAAACUUGUGAUCGUUCUUAUGCUGUGCAGUCUAAUGGCUUUACAAAUGUCUUGUGUACAAGGUGUUUGCUACAGCUAUGUUUGUAGAAGACGGUGUGUGUAUCGAGCACCUCUGUAUGAAGAGUAUGCAUUUAGAUAUCUGUGGCCUAGAGCUUGUGGACAACAAGCCGUCGAACGCUGGGGCAUCAAAGCCUGCUGUAGAACAUGGGGCUUAUAUUAGCGACCAUGCCACUUAAUCAAGUAUUUCAAAGCGAGGUGGAGGGCGAUCACGUGAUUACUUUUUGGCAAUCCACUUAAUUUAUUCAUCUUUGGGGACAUAAAUAACAACUGCGACCGGUUCACAGCUGUUAAUUGCAAUUGCUUUUUACUAUACAUCUAUUUGUUAUAUGUAAUGUAUGUAUAAGACAUCUGUCAAAAUAAAUCCUUAUUUUUCGUUGGGAAA
rnacentral:lncRNA from 1 species